rnacentral:misc_RNA from 1 species
GUCACGACAUAAUUAGAAUUUUUCAGAUUAUUUAUUUAGGAUAAUAGGCAAGUACCUGAGGAGUGUUUGCUGCGCUAGGACUCUCAUUUCCCUCAACUUUACCAGCCUCGCGGUUACCAAGACAGUAGAAGUUCAAAUAAUCUUCCGGAGAGCAUGAAUUCUCAAGCCCAACCUCCUCUAAAGCCUUGUAAAUAGUCUCAUACAUCAUUUGCAUUGUCUUGUUCUGCCAAUAUAGUAUUCUCUGUGUAGCAGCACCAGUUGGAUUACCCUCUGGCCACAUUGGGAGGACAAUGUAUGCUGCAA